rnacentral:lncRNA from 1 species
AAGUGCUCUGCCUGCCUCAGCUUCCCAAAGUGCUGGCAUGAGCCACCGAGCCUGGCCUGAAUUUUUUAAAUGCACUUUUUUCUCAUUCACAGCAGCCAUUAAAUUCAAAAUACUUUUAUAGAUCAAUUCCAUAUAGUAAUUUUAAGGUGUACUUUGCCUUUCCUGGGUGAGAGUUACAUCUCUAUAUAAAUGAAACAGUAAGUCAUGGGCUUUCUCGUGUGAACACUAAGUGACUUGGCAAUGUACCGUGUUGUUGUGAGUACAUUGAUAAUACCGAGAUAAAUUCUGUUUUUCAGUCUUCAUGUCAUCACUGAUGAGGGAGAACCCUCAGCUUGACAGUCUAAGGAAAAUUUAAAGACCAAACCCAGGAUGGUAAAAUGGCAAGAGGAUGGGUUUUGGAGUAACACAACCCUAGUCACAAAUCCUGACUCUUCCCCCUUAAUAGCUGGAUGACCGUAACCUUCUGACCAUCCUCAUCUGUAAAAUGAGGAGAAAAAGACUCGCCCUGGGGAUGCUGAGUUUUGAAGAAGAAAAUGUAUUUGAAGCACUUAGCACAAAGCCUGAUUGUUCAUAACUUUCUGCACCCUUUUCUUUAUCUCCUUCCCUUCUCUUCUUUCACUUCUUUUGAUGUUGUACAAUAUAAUCAUGUUUCCAGAAGAAAAGAUUAAGCCAUGAAUUUCUCUAUCCUCUAUUUACACAAAUUACAUGUUUCUUUCUAAUAUGAAUCAUUAUACAAUUCUACCACAUUAAAAUAACAAUAAAUUAUGAUUAAAAUAUACUACUAAUAAUGAUAUUUUUCAUGUAUAUGACCUCCCAAGUUUGAAGAACUUGCUGAAUAUUAUAAUAAACUCUAAAGGGCAUGAUUGCCUCCUGUAACUGAAUCUAUCAAUAGGCAAGUCUUGAUCUAUGCUCAGAAGAUCUCAUUAAGAACCUGAUUUUGUAGUUUUUGCUUAGUGCACAGGCUGGGUUGUCCCCUCGUGGCCCUUAUGAUGCAGGAGAGAGAGGAAAAUUCUUCGAGAGAGACACUGGAGAAAGCAAGAGAGGAUGAGCAGAUAUUUGGGCAGAUUAUCUUGUGGGAAGAACAAUCAAAUGCAAAGGUAAUGGAGGAAGGAGUAUACUUGAUAUGAUAUAUUACACACUAAUAUAAUAUUUUUGCCAUUAAAAGUGAUGGCAAGAAGAGCAAUUACUUUUGCACCAACCUAAUAUAACACACUAGUGGCAAAUACACUAGCAAGAAGGCUAGUGUGACAGAAGCAGAGUGAUCACACAGAGUGGCAGGACAUGAGAUCAGAGAAAGAUCAAAAGGCCAGUUAACAUAGGGCCCUAUAGGGCAUUGCAUGGAUAUUGGCUAUGGCCCUGAGUAAGAUUUGAGGAUUUUGGAAAAGGAGUCACAUGAUUUCACAUUUUAUAAGAAUUACUCUGGGUACCAUGUUAAACUGGACCACAGAAAAACAAGAGAAAGCAGGGAGACUUGUUAGUACAUUUGCAAUAAAACAGGUGGAAAAUAGUUAUACCUUGGAUAAGGAUGUAGUAAUGAAGUUAUUGGGAAGAAUUUGAAUUCCGUGUAUAUUUUGAAAGUAGAACCACUAGGAUUUUCUCAUAGACUAGAUGUGGAAUAUGAUGGGAAGCAAUAAUAAGGUAUGUGAGAAAAGUCUGCAGGAGGGGGAGUUUAAGGGAGAACAAUUGGAAGCUUGAUUUUGUACUUGUGACACUUGCGGUGCCUAUUAGACAGCUUACAAGUUUAUAGCUGAUUAUAUAAAGUACUUACUCUGUUCCAGGCAGUUUUAAGUGCCUAAUCAACAUUAAUUCAUUUAAUCUUCACUACAACCCAGUAAAUGAGGUAUUUGGAAUUUAUGUGUCCUCAGUUCUUAAUAGGAUUUAAAACCACGAGACUGAAUGAGAUCACCAAGAAAGUAAGUGUAGAUGGAGAAAAGAAGACCAAGGACUGAGGUAGAAGCACUCUGAUACUUAGCAUUUAGGGACAUCACGGGACACCAACAAAGGAAAUUGAGAAAGAGUGGCCCAUAAUGGAGGAGGUAAAUGAGUGUCCCAGGAAUCAAGUGAAGUUAAGUGGAUCAGGAAAGAUGAAGCAUCAUGGUGUCAAAGCUACUGACAUUUCAA